rnacentral:rRNA from 1 species
AUUGAACGCUGGCGGCAGGCCUGACACAUGCAAGUCGAACGAGUGGCGGACGGGUGAGUCAUGUCUGGGAAACUGCCUGAUGGAGGGGGAUAACUACUGGAAACGGUAGCUAAUACCGCAUACCAUCGGAUGUGCCCAGAUGGGAUUUGCUAGUAGGUGGGGUAAAGGCUCACCUAGGCGACGAUCCCUAGCUGGUCUGAGAGGAUGACCAGCCACACUGGAACGGGAACACGGUCCAGACUCCUACGGGAGGCAGAAGUGGGGAAUAUUGCACAAUGGGGGCAAGCCUGAUGCAGCCAGGCGGCGUGUAUGAGGAAGGCCUUCGGGUUGUAAAGUACUUUCAGCGGGGAGGCGUUAACCACAGAAGAAGCACCGGCUAACUCCGUGCCAGCAGCCGCGGUAAUUC